GUGUUAAAAUGACCACCACCACCCACCCACCCACCCACCACCAUGUAGUGGUUGCCUAGGGUUCGGUCAAGCAGUCUGCCCUGAUACUCUGUGACGUGAAGAUCUGCGUGUCCUGCUACUCUCAUCCUGUCGGUACGUUUGCUAUUGUCUCAUUGGUGUGGUGACUGUGACCUGCCCUGACCUGCCUGUGACCUGCCCUGACCUGCCUGUGACCUGCCUGUGACCUGCUUUUGACCUGCCUUGACUUCCUCUGACACACAUGGUGACCCGAGACCUGCCAAGACCUUCCCAGGACGUUCCCAGGACCUUCCAAGACCCACAAUGACCCACAGAUGAAGAUACAGAUUUAAGAAGUGCGAUGAUGCGACACACAGACAGACAGACAGACAGACAGGUGUGGGAUGAGUGCUGGCAUACUGAAGGUCAAGAGGUCAAGAGGUCAAGAGUCACGUGUUGAGUCGUAUGGGUCACCAGACAGGUCACCCACCUAACCCCACUCAGCCUGUCAGUUCAGCAGCAACACUCAUGGAAGAAUUUGCCGCAAGCUGUGCCUCUCUGUGCUUGUUAUCCGAACCUUGUGUCUAAUAUUGCCUUAAUGUUGUGUGUGUGUGUGUGUGUGUGUGUGAGAGAGAGAGAGAGAGAGAGAGAGAGAGAGAGAGAGAGAGAGAUUUUGUUACUCGUCAUGUCCCCUGUACCACUUGAAGACCUCCACCAGACCCCCUCUUAGUCACCCUUGUUGUGUCCCCUGUACCACUUGAAGACCUCCACCAGACCCCCUCUUAGUCACCCUUGUUGUGUCCCCUGUACCACUUGAAGACCUCCACCUGACCCCCUCUUAGUCACCCUUGUUGUGUCCCCUGUGCCACUUGAAGACCUCCACCAGACCCCCUCUUAGUCACCCUUGUUGUGUCCCCUGUACCACUUGAAGGUCUCCACCAGACCCCCUCUUAGUCACCCUUGUUGUGUCCCCUGUACCACUUGAAGGUCUCCACCAGACCCCCUCUUAGUCACCCUUCUCUGAGGUACAAUAGUGUCUAGUCAUCCUUCCUAUGUCAUCCUUGUGUAAUCAGGAAUAAUUAUCAGCAUUUGUACUCCUCCUCUUCCUCCUCCUUCUGUCUGUCUGUCUGUCUGUCUGUCUGUCUGCCUACCAGUUAAAAUGAUCAAUGUAGUCAGUUAUACUUGUGGAUACUGUGUGUGUGUGUGUGUGUGUGUGCGUGCGUGUAUAUGAAUUAAUGUUUAUUGUGAAGUAUCUGCCUGCCUGCUUGCAAAUUAAUUAUCAAUAUAGUUACUGUUUGUGUGUUUGUGUGUUAUAAAGUUAAUCUUGUAGUGUAUUAUUGAUUGUAUUCCACAUGUAUGGGCUGGCCAGACGUGAUGUACUGUGACAGCCAGAACCUUGACAUAUACUGCUUGAUAAAAUGAAAAUAAGCAAAAAUACACGAAUAAAGUACAAAUUUUGAGCCGAACUAAUGAGGACUUUCUCUCGUCUUUUUCAGAGGUGCGUACAUCUGCGAGUCACUCCAACCAACCUCUUAUAUCCUACCUUAUUCUGAUAUAUUAGGUUAGAUUCAGUUAGGUUACUUAUAUUGGGGGCCUGUCUUCCUUACUAACCUAACCUAACCUAACCCAUUCCUUCCUUCUCGUCAAGCUGUUGGUGGGAGAAGCCCCAGGACUCUCAAGCGUGGGUUGAGUCACAACUGCGGGUGUGCUAGCUCACCUUGAAGUCAGACGGGGCUCACGUGUUGCAGUGUUGCAGUGUUGCAGAUCUUCACCCAAACAAGGGGAGUAUUGUUUUUUUUGUGUUUUGUAUAUAUAUAUUUUUUUUUUGGGGGGGGAGGGGGUCUGGGGAUAGCUAUCUGCGGUGUGCGUCUGUGCGUGCGUCUGUGUGUGUGUGCGUCUGUGUGUGCGUCUGCGUGUGCGUCUGUGCACGUGCGUCUGUGUGCGUGCAUCUGUGUGUAUGUCUUUUUUUUGGUUGUGUGUGUGAAUUUUUUUUUGGUAUAAAUAUAUAGGUGGCAGGCCAUAGUGUUAGGAUAUUUGACACAGAUUAAUAUAGAAGAUGGUUUAAGUUAGUUAUUAAUAUAGAAGAUGGUUUAAGUUAGUUAAGGGUUAAGUGAGGCAUAGAGAGAGAGAGAGAGAGGGGAAGACAGAUAUUAAUAGGAUUAGCUUAUAUUUUUUUUAGGGUUUUAAGUAAGUAUCUAGGUGGCAGGUCAGAAUGAUAUAAUAUUUAACACAGAUUAAUAUAGAAGAUGGUUUUAAGUUAGUAUAUAUCAAAGGGUUAAGUGAGGCAUAGAGAGAGAGAGAGAAAGGGUUAAUAGGAUUAGAAUGACAGGAGUAUAUAUCAAAGGGUUAAGUGAGGCAUAGAGAGAGAGAGAGAGAUAGGGUUAUUAAUAGGAUGACAGGAGUAUAUAUCAAAGGGUUAAGUGAGGCAUAGAAAGGGUUAUUAAUAGGAUUAGGAUGACAGGGUGUAUGAAUGUUUAACUCAGAUUAUAUUGAAAGUUUAUUUCUUUAUAAUCUGAGUUUGUAUGGCAUGUUGAGUAUUAGUAUGUUAUUUUUGUAGUGGUGGUAGUGGUGGUGGGACGUAUGAAUGAUGAUUUUUUUUUUUUUUUUUUGGUGGGGGGGGCAAGGGGGGUAUAUAUAUAUAGUGUUAUAUAGAUAUUUUUUUUUUUUUUAUCCCCAGAUCUUUGGUAAGAGAUCUGGGGAUUGUAUGUAUGUAUGUCUAGCCAGUAUUUUGGUAAGAUACUGGCUAGUGAGUGAGUGUGUGUGUGUGUGUGUGUGUGUGUGUGUGUGUGUGUGUGUGUGUGUACGUGUGUGUGUGUGCGUGCAUAUGUGUGUGUGCAGUUUUUUUUUUUAGGUUAGGUUAAUUAGUUAAAUAAAUAAAUAAGAGCAUAGAUAUUAGUAAUAAUAAGAAAAUUUGAUAUUAGUAAUAAUAAGAAAAUUUGAUAUUAGUAAUAAAAAAGAGGGUAAAUAAAUAAAU